AUAGGUGCUCAGGUUCAGGGCUUCGACGGGGAUGGUUUUGGAACUCGGGAGCCCUGAGCUUCCCCCUCCUCUGUCCCCUAGGACAUCCUGAACCACGUGUUCGACGACGUAGAGAGCUUUGUAUCGAGGCUGCAGAAGUCGGCGGAGGCGGCCAGGGUGCUGGAGCACAGGGAACGCGGCCGCAGGACCCGGCGCCGGGCGGCUGGGGAGGGCCUGCUGACGCUGCGGGCCAAGCCGCCCUCGGAGGCCGAGUACACCGACGUGCUGCAGAAGAUCAAGUACGCCUUCAGCCUGCUGGCCCGGCUGCGCGGCAACAUCGCCGACCCCUCCUCUCCGGAGCUGUUGCACUUCCUUUUCGGGCCUCUGCAGAUGAUUGUGAACACGUCGGGGGGGCCGGAGUUCGCGAGCAGUGUUAGGCGGCCGCACCUGACGUCGGAUGCCGUGGCGCUGCUGCGGGACAACGUCACUCCACGUGAAAACGAGCUCUGGACCUCGUUGGGGGACUCGUGGACCCGCCCCGGGCUGGAGCUGCCCCCGGAAGAGGGACC
rnacentral:sRNA from 1 species